GGGUGAGUAACACGUGGAUAGCCUACCUAUAAGACUGGGAUAACUUCGGGAAACCGGAGCUAAUACCGGAUAAUAUUUUGAACCGCAUGGUUCAAAAGUGAAAGACGGUCUUGCUGUCACUUAUAGAUGGAUCCGCGCUGCAUUAGCUAGUUGGUAAGGUAACGGCUUACCAAGGCAACGAUGCAUAGCCGACCUGAGAGGGUGAUCGGCCACACUGGAACUGAGACACGGUCCAG
rnacentral:rRNA from 1 species